rnacentral:rRNA from 1 species
GACGAAGGGGGCUAGCGUUGUUCGGAAUUACUGGGCGUAAAGCGCGCGUAGGCGGCUACCUAAGUCGGAUGUGAAAGCCCCUGGCUUAACUGGGGAAGUGCACCCGAAACUGGGUAGCUAGAGUGCAAAAGAGGGUCGCGGAAUUCCCGGUGUAGAGGUGAAAUUCGUAGAUAUCGGGAGGAACACCGGUGGCGAAGGCGGCGACCUGGGGUGACACUGACGCUGAGGCGCGAAAGCGUGGGGAGCAAACAGG